GUCACUUUGGUAGCACAUAUACUAAAAGUGGAAUAAUACAGAGAUUAGCAUGGCUCCUGUGCAAGAAUGACAUGCAAAUUGUGAAGCAUUCUAUAUAACA
rnacentral:snRNA from 1 species